rnacentral:rRNA from 1 species
AGAAAUAAUAUUAAAAUAUUAUUUUUCAAUAAGCAAGAGUCUAAUCCUGGCUCGGUUGGAAGGCUAGGAGCCGGUUUUAUACAUGCAAGCUUGUUUUAAAUUUUUUUAUUUAAAUGGCGUAUAGGUGAGUAAUAAAUAAGAACCUAAAAUACUGUUGGAGGAACCUCCAUAAAAAAUAAAUUUUAUUUUAAAAGCAAAUGCGCAGUAUAAGGGCUUAUUUAGUAUUAUGGUAGUUGGUUAUGUUAAAAAGCUAACCAAGCCUUAGAUGCUUAGCAGGCUUUAACGAGUGAUCUGCCACAACGGGCUUGAAAUAGUGCCUGAACAUUUAUGGCAGCAGUAAAGAAUCUUGGGCAAUGCAUUCAAGUGUGACCCAGCAAGUCUCCGUGGAUGAUGAAGAUAUUAAAUUAUAUUGUAAAAUUCUAUCUUUUUAUAUUAUAAUGAAAUAUAAAAAGAAGCACAGGCUAAAUUCGUGCCAGCAGCCGCGGUAAUACGGAUUGUGCAAGUC